rnacentral:lncRNA from 1 species
UCAACACUCCAAUCAUCUUUUCUUUUUUUAUUCAUCCGAUCCAUCACAAUUAAUCGCUAGGAUUUAUUUACUUCAAGUUCAAUACUUAUUCUUCUCAUAGUCAUUCGAAGUUUGAGAAACAAAUCCUAUGUCCAACUUCAAAUUUUGAAGAAAUAUUUGUUGGAUCGAUUUUCAUUUUGUAUCUAGGAAAUUUUUAGUUAGUAUACAGUUCGUUUGGCUAACAGGCUAAUAAUCAACUAACAUUAUGAUUAUAGUUUACUUUUUAUGAAUUUAAUAAAUAAAAUAAGUGAUUGAUGUUAUAUUUCGUCAAAAAAAAAAAAAAUAACAUUUGAUUGAUGUUAUAUGCACAUCCGUAGUAAACAAGUGAUUAAAAUUGUAUCCUUUUGAUUUUUCAUGUUCGAUGAACUACUCACUUGGAAUCAAAUCCGUUACUUUUGAACAUCAUGGAAACCACAUUACCUUGAUUUCUAUGAGUGCUACUUACUUAUUUGAGUACCUACUAACUGAAUCCCUUGAUUGUUAUAAACCAGCUGCGAUUGCAUGGGAGGCGGGGAAGCCGCUGGUGAUAGAAGAAGUGGAGGUGGCGCCACCACAAGCCGGUGAAGUCCGUCUUAAGAUACUCUUCACCUCCCUUUGUCACACUGAUGUUUACUUCUGGGAAGCUAAGGUAAUUAUAUUAUGUUAUUUAUUUACUUUCUUAUUUUGUUUCAUUCAAUGUCCUCUUCGUUAUACAUUAAUUGCAAUUGCUUACUGUGUUUUGUUUCUUGUUUUCUCCUGUUUCAGGGUCAGACUCCUAUGUUUCCUCGUAUAUUUGGUCAUGAAGCUGGAGGGUAUCUAUGCUUCUCUUCUCACAAAUUACUAACCUUUUUUCCUUUGUCUCAAUUUGUGACAACAUUUAUUCUUUUCAUUUCCUAAAAUGUGAUUUGUAAUGUAAAUGCAUGUUGAUUAGGAUUGUGGAGAGCGUAGGGGAGGGUGUGACUAAUCUGAAACCAGGGGAUCAUGCUCUGCCUGUAUUCACUGGGGAGUGUGGGGAAUGUCCACAUUGUAAGUCUGAGGAAAGCAACAUGUGUGAUCUUCUUAGGAUCAACACAGAUAGGGGUGUCAUGAUCAAUGAUAACCAGUCAAGAUUCUCUAUCAAGGGACAGCCCAUACACCAUUUCGUCGGUACCUCCACAUUCAGUGAGUACACUGUGGUUCAUGCUGGAUGUGUUGCAAAGAUCAACCCUGCUGCUCCACUUGACAAAGUUUGUAUUCUCAGUUGUGGAAUAUGCACAGGUAUAUAUGGUUUUUAUUCAAGAUCCCUACAUUCAGAUAGUAAAUUAUAAUUACGAGUGUCUAUCUAUGUUUUCUCAAUUAAAAUCACAUUCAUGGUUGUAGGUCUUGGUGCUACUGUCAAUGUUGCUAAACCGAAACCGGGUUCUUCUGUUGCUAUCUUUGGGCUUGGAGCUGUUGGCCUUGCUGUAUGUUACUUUUAAAUCUUAAUUGUGUGUGUUUGUUGCGCUUAUUAUAGCAACUAAGUGCAUGUUUGGAAUCACUCUGAGUUUGAUAAAAUCACGGUGUCAUCUUGAUUUGGUCGAAACUUCAAAGUGUAGUUUUGUUUCUAAUAUCAUAGUGGCAAACCGUGAUUUUGACAAUCUUAUUGUCAAUCCAACCAUGCACUAAAAGAAGUCAAUAUUAACCCCCAGUCUUCUCUUUUUUGAUACAAAUUUUAGGCUGCUGAAGGUGCAAGGAUUUCUGGUGCAUCAAGAAUCAUUGGUGUUGAUUUAGUUUCCAGCCGAUUUGAAGAAGGUAGUACAAUACUUUCUUAUUCCAUCAAAUACUUUUAAGAUUCUGGUCAAAUAAAUUAAAUACCCAGUCACUAAUGGAUGAUGUUUCUUGUUAUAUUAUUAUUGUUUCCAGCUAAGAAAUUUGGUGUGAAUGAAUUCGUGAACCCAAAAGAUCAUGACAAACCUGUACAACAGGUUAGUAUUAUAUAGUUUAUUAUAUUUCUAUUUUCUCUAAACUUUGUUGAUUCCAUAUAUUGAAAUUCAAAUUCUGAUGCUAUGAAUUAAACUUAAACAUGUUGUGUCAUUAUGUGUAAUAGAGCUAGAGUCUGAGAUAUUAAUAUUUGUGUGCAGGUAAUUGCUGAAAUGACGAAUGGAGGCGUUGAUCGUGCUGUUGAAUGUACUGGCAGCAUCCAGGCUAUGAUAUCAGCAUUUGAAUGUGUACAUGAUGUACGAACAGCAUAAUAUUCUUACUCCUACUUAAUGCUAAAAUGUGUAUAUAAAUCUUUAGUGAAGCUGAACCUUGACUUGUUGUUUUAACUUUUAAGGGUUGGGGUGUUGCUGUGCUUGUUGGAGUUCCAAACAAAGAUGAUGCAUUCAAAACUCAUCCUAUGAAUUUCUUGAAUGAAAGGACUCUUAAGGGUACAUUUUAUGGCAACUACAAGCCUCGCACCGAUCUUCCUAAUGUUGUUGAGAAGUACAUGAAAGGGGUAAGUUUCAAAAUCUAUUGAAUUGUGCAUUGUUUUAAGAGAAUUAAUUAAUAUUGCAUAACGGUAUGAUAGUGAUUGUUUCGGAUCAGUCCACUGUAGACCAAUGUUUAAAAAUAAUUUAAAGCUCUAAUGAUGAUUGGAUAUACUUCUCAAAAGUAGAAGUACACAACCCUCCUUGUCGUUUAGGGAAAUAUACUCGUUUUCUAUUAUUUUUAACUAAUGCAUCAAUGAAGUCACUUUCUCUAACUUUAAGAAUAAGAAAUAUCUCUACUUCCCCCGAUUGACCACUUUCAAAUUAGUAUUUGCUAGUGUAUAUUGUUAUAUGUGUUGAUGGUAAUUUGUUGAUGCUGCAGGAGCUGGAACUUGAAAAAUUCAUCACUCACACUGUACCAUUUUCAGAGAUUAACAAAGCUUUUGAUUACAUGCUUAAGGGACAGUCCAUCAGAUGUAUCAUCCGUAUGGGAGAGUAACACUGUAAGACUCUGUGAAAGAGUCCCUACUGGGAGACUGAGUUCUAUAUCUGGUUUUGAAAAAAUAAAUAAUGAAAUAUUGUUGUAUAUUCCAUUUUCGUUGAGUUUGUGAAGUUUGAUUGGAGAGAAUGAUUUGACAUUUGUGAUACAAUAUAUAAUAUCGGAUGAAUAGUGUUGUUUUUGUUAAUUUGUUGUUCAUGUAAUUUUUUAAUUGGUUCUUUCGAAACAACUAUAUAUAUAUAUAUUGCUUUUAAAUUUGAAACAGGGGAAUUUAUUGAUGUUAUUAAAAAAUAUGAAAAUUAUGGAAACAUGUUUUAAGAGAAUUUAAAUUUAAAUUUUACUAAGAACUAUUUAUGACCAAACUUUAUUAAAAUAAAUGACAACAAACUACAUAGUAUCUACAACCCAAAAAUUUUGCUCCAUAGUUGACACAAGUGCGUCCUACGUUGCUACGUUGCACAAAGUGUUUGCACAUCAUAUGCCACUUGGAUAAUAUUAUUAUAUAUUAGUAGAAAAAAUAUUUUAGUCUUUUUUAUUUUUUUUAUAUAUAUUUAUUAUAACUCUAUCAAAUUAAAUUUUUUAUUCAUUUGGUUUAUGAAAUUCUAGUAGGUUCUUUUUCUUCCUCCUCUUUUCAUCUUUUUCCUUUUAUGUUUAUCAUUGUUGACACAAUAUCAAAGAUCUUUGAUUGGUUUUGGGAUCUACCGUAAAAUGAUCCACAACCUAGCAGAGUCAACCAACACGGUAUUAAUUUUUUUCGUAUGACCCACUUUGCGACCCGUACUGGUUUGCUCCCUCUGUUUUGGAUUUGAUUUUGCCUCUCUGAUUCCGGCGUGAUUAUGCUCUUCAAUUUAUGGCGCGAUUUUUCUCUUUUGCUUUUAGUGUGGUUAUGCUUUUCUAUUUUCGGCACAAUUUUGUUUCGUUUUUGGUUGACUCUGCUAUUGACAAAUUAUCUCUAAUUUAUUGACUCAGGGAAUGUGUUCGUCACAUUUUCCUGUCAUUGUUUGUUAUGGCUGGUGUUAAAGAUGAUUCUCUUCAAGUUAUUAGUGUCCACCUCAAUGGAUAAAAUUAUUCUUAUUGGAGUUAUAUGAUGACAAACUUUUUGAUUGUAAAAGAUAUGUGAGGUUAUGUUGAUGAAACUUCUGUUAAGCCUACAAAUAAAAAGAAUGAAACUAAAUAUGCAAAAGAUUUGAAAAUAUGGAAUGUUAGUAAUUCAAAAAUCAUUGCUUGGAUUAAUAAUUCUGUUAAGGUGUCUAUAGGAGUGGAACUCGCAAAAUAUAAUUUUACUAAAGAGAUUUGAGAUCACUUGAAACAUUUGUAUGUUUAGUCUAACUUUGCAAAAUAUUAUCAGUUGGAAACUGAUAUUAGGGCCUUUAAGCAGAACAAUAUGACCAUUUAGAAAUUCUAUUCAGCAAUGACUAAUUUGUGGAAUCAAUUGACUUUCAAAGAAUCAACUGAGUUGUUAGAGCGUACAUUGAUCGGAGAGAGGAACAAUGUAUGCUUUGGUUCCUGAUGGCUAUUCGUGAAGAUUUUGAGGGCCUUUGUGGGGGGUAUUUUGCCUCGUUUGCCUCUUCCUAAUGUUGAAUCAAUAGUCAGUGAAUUGUUGGCAGAAGAAAUCAAACUUACGACUCACUAUGUUGUGUCAGAUAAGGGAAUUCUCUCUACUCCUCCAUUUAUUUUUGUUGUUCCUAUUCAAAAAGGAAAAUCUCAAAGGAGAGUUGUGCUUGGUAAUGAUGAAUGUGAUUUUUGCAAAUAAAAAGAUCAUUGAAAAGGACAUUGAGGAUAUCACAUAAGACGAAUUUUAGGGGACCAUCGUUCAAUGUUGUUGCUUCUACUAUUGACUCUAGUUUUGGUUCUGUAUACUCAUAUGAGAUUGCUUCUCAAAUAUUUGAUAUUGCAGAGCAACCUCAAAAACUUCUUGAGACUCAAUGACAUGUCAUGUCUGCCACAUCUACUAAAAGUUUGAACUUCUCUAGUCUAUCAGAUAUAUCUCAUUCUAUAUGAAGUCUUGAUUCUGGAGCAUCUCACCAUAUGACAUAUGAUAAUAAAUAUGUUGUGUGUGUGAAUUAUGCUUGAUCUAUGUUUGUUAUGACUAUUGAUGGUACUCCUAUGCCAUUAGCAAACAUUGAUUCUCUCUCCACACCUAACUUGUCUUUUUAUGAUGUUUAUUAGAUUCCUAAUCUCACUCUGAGUCUUACUUUUGUUAGUCAAAUAUGUGAUUUCAGUUAUUCAUUUAUUUUCUUCCACUUCUUGUUGUAUGUAGGAUCCACAUUCCGAGAGGCUGAUUGAGAUAGACCAUAGAAAGUGAGACUUUAUGUUUUGGAUGACCUGCAAGUCCCAGAUACUGCACCCUCAACAACUACUGCAGACUUAUUAUCUAAUUUUCGCUUGAAUUCCUCGUUUUCUAGUUUUUAUUUAUGUAAUUCUUUCCUUGAACAUGUUUCUGCUUCUAGAUUAAAAUAUUUGGAUUAUACUAGAUUAAAAUUAUAAACCAGUGAUAUUUCAUAUUGUUAUGGUUGUACACUUGCUAAAUUUAUGACUUUACUGAUUGAGGUGGUGAAUAUACUUCUAAUAAAUUCUCUAAAUUAAUUGUUUAUGAUGACACCCUCCACCAGACAUCUUGUACUAAUACUCCUCAACAAAAUAGAGUUGUUGAAAGAAAACACGGUCAUACUAUUGAGACUCCUCAUUCUUUUUUGUUGUCUGCUUCGGUUCCUAGUGAGUUUUGGGGGAAUACAAUUCUUACUGAUGUUCAUAUAUGCUUUUAUCUCUAAUUAUUAUUCUUUAAAAGUCUCCGGUUCUACUUGUUUUGUUCUUCAACCAUAAGUAGAGCAUAGUAAGUCGUCUUCUCGUUCUGCCUUGUGUGUUUUUCUUAGUUAUGGGGAUGGUCAAAAGGGUUAUCAUUGUUAUGAUCCCCAUGCAAUAAAACUAUAUGUUUCCCGUUAUGUAGUUUUUCUUGAGCACAUCACUUUUUACUUUGUUUCCUCUGAUUCUCAUAUUACUAAAAGCUCAAAACUAACUCAUAUUGAUCUGUUCAGUCUAAAUGAUAAUGCUUUCAGUGAUUGUAAUGUUGAGAAUUGUAGGACAAAUACUAUUACUCCACAUGAUGGUAUCCUUCUUGUCCCUCUGGCUGUCCAACCACCUUUUGUGAUCUCUGCCUCCUCGUUACCUCUCUCGUCACGGUAAGUCUACUUAUUUACCUAAUUUUGUUUAUUCCACUUACUCAUCUUCAUUUACUUAUUUCUUAACCUCUAUUCACAGUUUGUUUGAGCAUUCUUCUUAUAAAGAGGUUAUUCUUGAUGCUCUAUGGCAGCAGACUUUGGCAAAAGAACUCUUUGCAUUGCAUAAAACAAAUACUUGGUAAUUAGUACCACUUUCUCCUAGAAAGCAUGUUAUUGGUCUCGUUGGGUCUAUAAGAUCAAAAGCUAAGUCUGAUGGGUCAUUUGAACGCUAUAAAACACGUUUUGUUGCUAAGGGAUUUUCUCAAUAAUAUGGUAUGUAUUAUGAAGAAACUUUUGCUCUUGUAGCCAGGAUGGCCAAUAUCCGUACUCUUAUUGUAGUUGCAUCUAUUCGUCAAUGACAUAUUUCUCAAAUAGAUAUAAAAAUAUAUAUAUUUUUAAAUGGUGAACUUUAUGAAGAAGUCUAUAUGAUCCCUCCACAAGUAAUUUAUGAUAAUCAAAGGGAAAUAUGUAAGUCAAAAAAAGGCUAUCUACGAUCUCAAACAAGUUAUCGAGCUUGGUUUGAGAAAUUCUCUACUAUGAUCACUUUUCUUGAUUUUGCUCUAGUGAACAUGAUUCUGCAUUAUUUAUAUGGUCUACCACUUUAUGGUCGCAUUAUAUUUUUUUUUUUGUAUGUUAAUGAUAUGAUUAUUACAAGUGAUAAUGUUAGUGGAAUCAAUGAAAUGAAAUUGCAGUUAGCCAAACAAUUUGAGAUGAAGGACUUGGAAACUCUUCUCUGUUUCUUGGGGAUUGAAGUUGCCUACUCUCUUAAAGGGUCCCUUGUUUCUCAGUCCAAGUACAUUACCAACAUUCUUGAACAAUCUCGUCUUUAUGAUAAUAGAGCAACAUAUACUUCUCUUGAGUUAAAUGUUAAAUAUGCUCCCUCAAAUGAUGUUCUUUUACCAUAUCCCACUUUGUAUCAUACUUUGGUUGAAAACUUGGUGUAUCUUACGAUUAUCAGACCUGAUAUUAUUUAUGUUGUUCAUGUUGUUAGUCAAUUUGUUGUCUCUCUCACUACAUCACAUUGGAUAAUUGUGCUUCGUAUUAUUCGUUAACUUUGAGGAACUAAAUUUCAGAGCCUUCUUUUUUCGUGCAACACCACUAAUCAUAAGUCCACUACUGGAUUUUGUAUCCUUCUUGGAGACUAUCUUACUUAUUGGAAGAGUAAAAAACAUUAUAUUGUCUCUCACUCUUCUAAAGAAGCUGAGUAUCGCGCUAUAACAUCCACUAAUGUUGGAAUAAUUUGGUUGCAUUGACUUCUGUCUGAUAUGGGUAUGUUGUUUUCUGAGCCAACUCCGAUGCACUAUGAUAACAAGAGUGUUAUUUAACUUGCUCAUAAAUGGGUCUUUCAUGAACACACCAAACACAUUGAUAUUGAUUUUCAUCCUACUUGUCAUCAUCUUCUACAUAGAAUCAUUACUUAAAUGUUUGCCUCAUCUUCCUUACAGAUUGUUGAUUUGUUCAUAAAGAUGCAUUCCAUUUAACAUUUUCAUUUUUUGGUUGACAAACUUUCGAUGCUCCAUGUUAAUGCAUCGUGAGUUUGAAGGGAAAUGUUAAUAUUAUUAUAUAUUAGUGGUAAGAAUAUUUUAGUUUUUUCCAUUCUCUUGUAUAUAUACUUACUGUAAUUCUAUUACACUAAAGUUUUUAUUCAUUUGAUUUAUAAAACUCUAGUACGUUCUUUCUCUUUCUUCUAUCUUCAUCUUCCUCCCUUUUAUGUUUAUCAAUGUUAACAACACCAACAAUCAAGUACGAAACAUUAACGAGCAAUACAUUUCAUUAGCUCUUAUAAAAAAAAACUCAUGAAAACGUUGAAUGUGAAAUUAUUGGUUUUUUUAAUCUUAAUUUUCUAACAAAUGAGUGAAAUUUGAAGAUACAUACAUUAUUUUCGCUACAACGAUAAAAAUAUUUUUUGAGAAAAACUCAAAUAAAGUCGAACGUUGUUGAUGUAUCUUAAAAAUUCAAAGAACCUAGUUAAUUUUAAAAAAGUUAAAUAACCUUUAUGAAAUAUGAAUUAACACUAAAAGACUUUUGAUGUAGUUUUGACUUAUAUUUAUAUAAUUUAAUUUCUGUGGAUCGUAAUUUUAUUUUACACAUGCGUAUAAUCACUCAAUAAUAUCACUUUUUUAGAUUAAUUGAUAAAAUAUAUUUAUAAAUAUCUAUUUGACAUUUUUUGAUUGGUUGAAUGUGUAAAAGAGUUUUAGGUACAUAGAAAUUAUUCUCAUGUAUAUGUACUAAUUCAACCAUUAUUUUUAUGAAUAAUUUAAAAUCUAUCAACAUUUUAUUUAUUUUUUGCUAUGACUAUAAACUAAUCCAUUUUUUGGAGUACAAAAUGAAUGGCGGAUCUUGAACGAAAACAUUGGGUGAUAGAAAUUUUAAAUAUUUAAUAAAUAAAUAAAAAGUAUAAUAUUGUAUUACAUAUAAGAAUUUUAAGUUGUAAAUUUACAAAAAUAUAUUGGAGAGAGUUAGUAAAUUAAAUUUUGAUUUACAUUUUUAAUAAUUAAAAUUUAGUUGAAAUUUAGGUUGAAAAAUUUAUUUUAUUUUAUAAUUAUAGUAGUUGUUUUUGUAAUUCUUUUAUAAAUUAUUCCCUCUUGUUUUUUUAUAGCAGGCAUCUCGAUUAUAAUUUAGUCUACUAAAAUUUAUAUAUUUGGUUCAUCUUAAAGAUUUUGGAGACCUUGUUAUAAUCUUAAAAAUUAAGCCUAAUAAAAAAAAAUACAAUUCUAAUAAUUAAAAAAAUUGGUAAAAUAAAUUUUAAUCCAUAUACACAAAUGAAUCUAUAUUAUGCAAUUAGGAUAUACACAUAUCAAUAUAUAUGAUACAAUCUACAUGAUAUAUGUCAUUUGAUUAGAUUACUUCAUGUAACAAAAAAAGAUGCACAUAUAAUAUGUCAUUUUGACAUAUUAGACUCAAGUAUACGUAUCGACAACGAUAACCCAACAACCACAAUUCAACUUAUAAAAAUAAUCAUACUCCUAAAAUAUAAUGAUUAUAGAUCCCAAAAUUACAACAACAUAUACCAUAAUAUCUAUACUAAUUAGCAUAUUUAUUAACAUAUGUCAUAUCUCGAAGUUCAACACCGAUAAGCAUAUAAUUUCCUCCAAAUUAUAUGUGAGAUCACGAUUCUACAUUGAUAACACAAGGAAUGUUUAAUGGUAUUGGAAGAAUAAUUUUAGAAUUUGAGAAUAUAAAAUACAAACAUACAAUUUUGUAUCACAUUGUUUUGCACAUCAUCAACGUCUGAUCCUGGAUUAGUCCAUAAAAUAUAUUAAAUUAUAAUUCAAAUGUCUCUUAUAAAUAUAAAAUAAAAAUUAUUUUAUAUUUAAAAAUUACUAAAAGUAUUUUUUUUUUAAAUUUGAAAAAUUUGGGGUGGCCACGUAGAAAGUACAAUGCUAUAGAUAAAUUGAUAUAUGCAUAAACUUACCAUUAAUUAAUUAACUUAUUAAUAUAAAAACUAAUUUAUUUAUCCGAUGCUUUUACCAAAGAAAAUCUUAAUCCAACGGUGAUAGCGUAGGGACAUAUGAUAUGAUAUAAGGGUAAGAAUAAUCGUGGAAUAUUCACCAUGUAAAGAUAUUCCAUAAUUGAUUUGCAAAUCAACCGAAACUUUAAUUUUUGAAAUUGAUUUGCUAUAAUUUCAUUUAUUUCAUUUCAUUUAUGAGAGAAAGAUUUUAUUCCAAAAAUAAACUUUCAGUUGCUAAUGUCGUAAUCUUAUAAAAUUCUGUUCACGGCUCAGACCUUUCCUCUCAUUUCUAACCCAUUGUUUUAUCUAUCUUUUGAAAUCACAAUGUUUUUCAAUGAAGGAACGAAAUCUAACCUGGUUGGUGCCUAUACUCUAUUAUAUUAUCAUCCGUAAUUUCUUUCAUUUUCUUUUAUAAUAUGUAUUUAGUUCAUUCUAUAUUUCCAUAUAUACACUAUACAAAUUCAAACUCUACUUUAAUAUUCACAUGUAUAGUUCUUCAAUUUUUUUUUUUCAUGGUAGACUUGUGCUUUGAAAGUGGAUACUAAUAGUAAAGGUUGGUCAGAAACUACUAGCAAAAUUUUGAGGAAAAUCAAAGGUAUGUGUUUCAUGUUUUCUCUCCCUCAAGUAUUAGUUUUAUUUUUGACACAGUUUUAAUAUUUAUUAUUAAUAAACUAUUUUUUUGGUAAUUAAAUAAAUGUUAAAAUAUACAUAUAUGCUAUGUUUCAAUUUUAGGGCUAAACUACAAUUUGGAUACAAAAGAUGGGAUGAUAUAUAUUUCAGGGAAAGUAGAUCCACAUAAAAUUUUGAGAAUGAUUACAAAACAUGCAAAGAAAGUAGAGCUUUGUUGGAUGAAAACAGUGGAACAACAAUAUGGCAAUGGGAACAACUAUGGUAUGGAUCAACAUAUGCCCAUCUCUGGUUACACAGCAUCAUAUCACAACAAUAGAGGAUAUUAUACCCAUCCUCCUCCUCCAAUGUCUUAUUCCCAUUCUGCCCCUCAUCAGAACCAUUGUUACAUUCCACAAUUGUCUUAUAAUAGUUACUGGAUGUAAAACACAUGAAUUUGGCUGUUGUUGAAGCGGCAUCACUCCAACAGUAUCACUAUUAGUAUUACUGUUUGAUGUUUUUGUUUGAUUUAAUUAACUCCUUUCGGUCUACUAUAUGAUCAUCACGAUUCACAAGACCCCUUUUGAUAAAAUAGUGAUAUGAUUGUGAACCGGUAUUUGUAAGGUUCACAAUUCUAAUUAAUCUGAUUGUUAUUUUGUUUUCAACGUGGCACAAGGGAAUUCUUUAUCACUUGAUAUUAUUUUAAUUAUCUGAGUUGAAUUGUGCACAAAUGUUAAAAAGUUAAUUAAUUUUAUUGAUUUUAAUGAUAAAAUAAAUUUUAUUUAUUUAAAUAUUUUUAUUAAUUGUAAUUAAGUAAAAAAUUUGAUGACUUGAGAAAUGAUAAAUAUAAAUAUAUUAUAAUUAAUGUUGUAUUGAUAUUAUAAAAUAACAAAUAAUUUAAAAUAAAUAACAAAUGUGAUAUUUAAAAUGAGACCAAAGGAACAAGUUUAAAUUUCAAAAUUAUUUAUUAUUGGUAUCUUUUGAUGAUACCAAUCAAGAUUGUCUUGAUUGUUUGUUUUUAUUUAAAUUUAAUUGCAGUUUUAAUUAUUUUAUUUUCACCUGUGUAAAAUUGAUUAUCUAUUCUAAUACUUUGACAAUUUUGGUCAUUUUUAUAAUUUGUUUGACUAAAAAAAUAAUAAUUUGACAUAUUUUAAAUAAUAUGAUUAAUAAAUAGAUGACGCUGAAUAAUUAAUAUCAAAAAAAUUAUUAUAAAACUCUUUGAAAAUAUUAAUUUGAAGUUAUAGAAAUAUGUAUUUUUAUAAUUUAAUUAAUAAAAUAUAAAUAAUUAAUGAUUAUAAUAACAUAAAUCAUGAAUCGUAUGUAUCAUUAUUUUAAUUACAUUAAAUUACUAUUUUUUUAUUUAAAAAAAUAAUGAAAGAACUGAAUUGUUGGAUUUUAAUUAAAAAAUCAAUUAUAUAAUUUGAUAAAAAAAAUAAAAUGAUUAAAAUUAUAUUAAAUUUUUUAUAAAACAAUCAAAAUUGUCAAAAAUAUAAAAACCGUUUAUUUAUUUAUAUAUUACUGUCUGGAGGCACUUUUUUUUUAUAAAUACUCCCCAUAAUUUCUGGGCGCAAGAUGCCGUAAUUUUGUGCUUUCAUUCAAAACAUGCCAUGAAUGUGAAAUAUUGAGAAUGCAUUGCAAAUAAACACAGGUCUUGUUGAAAAACUUUAAAUGAAGUAAGUUUUUUUGGAGUUAAUUCUACUUUUUUUUUUUUUUUUUUUUUUUUUCAAAUCAUCCUUAAAUUGACUGUCUUUUAUUAAUAAUUUUGUGGACUAAAAUAACUGUUAGAAGUCACAUUGAAAAAUAACAAUAUAAUUUUUAAAAAAUAUUACUGUAUUAUUCAUUUGUUUUAUUAUUUGUAAAGUUAGUGGUCAAGAAAACUUUUAAGAAAUUCAGUAUUUGGCAACUCCAAAUAUGAGAGGGUGUUAUUAUUAUUUCUAUAUGAAUAGAACUUACCAAAUCAUCCUUAAAUUGACUGUCUUUUAUUAAUAAUUUUGUGGACUAAAAUAACUGUUAGAAGUCACAUUGAAAAAUAACAAUAUAAUUUUUAAAAAAUAUUACUGUAUUAUUCAUUUGUUUUAUUAUUUGUAAAGUUAGUGGUCAAGAAAACUUUUAAGAAAUUCAGUAUUUGGCAACUCCAAAUAUGAGAGGGUGUUAUUAUUAUUUCUAUAUGAAUAGAACUUACCAAAUCAUCCUUAAAUUGACUGUCUUUUAUUAAUAAUUUUGUGGACUAAAAUAACUGUUAGAAGUCACAUUGAAAAAUAACAAUAUAAUUUUUAAAAAAUAUUACUGUAUUAUUCAUUUGUUUUAUUAUUUGUAAAGUUAGUGGUCAAGAAAACUUUUAAGAAAUUCAGUAUUUGGCAACUCCAAAUAUGAGAGGGUGUUAUUAUUAUUUCUAUAUGAAUAGAACUUACCAAAUCAUCCUUAAAUUGACUGUCUUUUAUUAAUAAUUUUGUGGACUAAAAUAACUGUUAGAAGUCACAUUGAAAAAUAACAAUAUAAUUUUUAAAAAAUACUACUGUAUUAUUCAUUUGUUUUGUUAAUUUUUUUAAAACUAAUAAAUAUGACAUUUUUAAAAUUAUUGUAUGUUUAUUUAUUACGUUUUGCAAGGGGAUACUUGGUGUAAGGAACUUUCAAAAUGAAAUACUUCCAAAUAAAUUCUCUUAUAUUGAAUAUUAUAAAUAAUAAUUUUUCUUUUUCUGAGUCAAGAUUAACAUUUUUAUAAACUCACGCGUAGGGGUGAGAAUAGGUCAGGCCAGGUCAGGCUUUGUAAGGCCUGAGCCUGGCCUACGAUUAAUUUUUUAGGCCUAAGUCUGGCCUACGGCCUAUCAUAGGCUUUUUUUUCGGCCUGGCCUGGCCUUUUUAAAAGCCUGGCCUGGCCUGGAAGCCUAUUUAAAAGCCUUAUUCAUAUUAAAAUAUUUAAAUGCUCUCCACAUACCAAUAUCAAUGUACAUAUCUAUAUAUAUUAAACAAAAAAUAAUUUUUCUAACAAAAUAAUUUUAAAAAAAUCUGAAACAAACAUCCUUUAAACCCUAAAACAUAAUUCUUGAUUUCAAAGAAUAGAUUUUUUUUUUAAAACAAAUGUACCAAUUAUUACCUCUCAAACAAAUAUGGAAGGACUAAUUGAAUGGCUACCGAAUAUGGAACGACUACCAAAUAUGGAAUGACUAUCGAAUAUGGAAUGACUACUGAGUGAUUGUCUAAUUGAUAAAAUUUAAAAUAGAAAAUAAUAUUAUUAAUAUAAUAAUAAAAAUAACAUUAAUAAAUAAUUAAAUAUAUAUAGGCCGGCCUGUCAGGCCUAAUAGGCUUCUUUAUAAGCCUGAGCCUGACCUAUUUAAAUAAAUAGGCUUUAAAAAUAGCCUGAUCUUUUUAUUAAAUAGGCCAGGCCAGGCCAUAAGUAGGCCAGGCCAUAGGCCCCUGUCGGACGGCCUAGCCUAUUCCUAUCCCUACUCACGCGUUACUUUAUUUUUAUCUAGGUUGGGACCUAAAUAUUUUCACAAUUAUCGGUAGGAAAAAAAACAUAAUAAUGAUUCUGUCACAGUUACAGGUAAAAAAGACGAUGAGAAAUGACAAAAUAGGAAAAGAUAAAAAUAAUAAUAAGAAGAAGAAAUAGAAGAAACUAGAAACUAGAAAACCAGCAACAGUCGGUGGUAAUGAUAUGUGAAACAGUAAAAGCCCGAAGGCGCCGCUUGGAAAUGGAAAAGAAAACAAACAGCAAAAGCGGCCCCACAAACCAAACUGUAUUUUGUUUGUGAACUAACUCUUUCCAUUUUGUUUUACUCUAUAAAUAGUUCACAAGACACGUGGUUGGUUCAUUCUUCAAGCUACUUACUCACUGAUCCCUCAAUUCCAUCCUAUUAGAUUUUCACUUGUUAAAUUCAACCAUUUUCAUCUCUCUUGAAUUCUUCAUUCAUCAACUUUGUUAACCAUGUCGAAUACUGCUGGUCAGGUCAUCAAAUGCAAAGGUCACCCAUCUCAUCUAUCUCCUUUGCGAUUUUUCAUUUCCAUCGAUCCUUUUGCUUUUUAAGGAUCCAUUUUGGAUCUUUAUUUUUUAAAUUUAUUUUAUUUGCGCACUAUUCUGUUUUUUUUUUAUGAUCGCUACUAACUAACUGAAUCCUUUGAUUGUUAUAAACCAGCUGCGAUUGCAUGGGAGGCGGGGAAGCCGCUGGUGAUAGAAGAAGUGGAGGUGGCGCCACCACAAGCCGGUGAAGUCCGUCUUAAGAUACUCUUCACCUCCCUUUGUCACACUGAUGUUUACUUCUGGGAAGCUAAGG